GGACCUGACUGCUAUCGGAUUGCUACUAAGCCAUGCGAGUCAUUGUAGCAAUACAAGGCAUACGGCUCAGUAACGCGUAGUCAACCUAACCUAUGGACGGGAAUAACCUCGGGAAACUGAGAAUAAUGCCCGAUAGAACAUUAUGCCUGGAAUGGUUUAUGUUCCAAAUGAUUUAUCGCCGUAGGAUGGGACUGCGGCCUAUCAGUUUGUUGGUGAGGUAAUGGCCCACCAAGACUAUUACAGGUACGGGCUCUGAGAGGAGUAGCCCGGAGAUGGGUACUGAGACACGGACCCAGGCCCUAUGGGGCGCAGCAGGCGAGAAAACUUUGCAAUGUGCGAAAGCACGACAAGGUUAAUCCGAAUGGUUUCUGCUAAAGAAACCUUUUGUCAGUCCUAGAAACACUGAUGAAUAAGGGGUGGGCAAGUUCUGGUGU
rnacentral:rRNA from 1 species